GGCACGGUGGUGCAGUGGGUAGCACUGUUGCCUCACAGUACGAAGGUCCUGGGUUCAAAUCCGGCCUGGGCCU
rnacentral:tRNA from 1 species